GGGAAGGUAGCUCAGUGGUAGAGUGCUUGCCUUGCAUGCAUGAGGCCAUGGGUUCGAUUCCCCAGCACCA
rnacentral:tRNA from 1 species